rnacentral:rRNA from 2 species
AAAUUGAAGAGUUUGAUCAUGGCUCAGAUUGAACGCUGGCGGCAGGCCUAACACAUGCAAGUCGAACGGUAACAGGAAGCAGCUUGCUGCUUUGCUGACGAGUGGCGGACGGGUGAGUAAUGUCUGGGAAACUGCCUGAUGGAGGGGGAUAACUACUGGAAACGGUGGCUAAUACCGCAUAACGUCGCAAGACCAAAGAGGGGGACCUUCGGGCCUCUUACCAUCAGAUGUGCCCAGAUGGGAUUAGCUUGUUGGUGAGGUAACGGCUCACCAAGGCGACGAUCCCUAGCUGGUCUGAGAGGAUGACCAGCCACACUGGAACUGAGACACGGUCCAGACUCCUACGGGAGGCAGCAGUGGGGAAUAUUGCACAAUGGGCGCAAGCCUGAUGCAGCCAUGCCGCGUGUAUGAAGAAGGCCUUCGGGUUGUAAAGUACUUUCAGCGGGGAGGAAGGUGUUGUGGUUAAUAACCGCAGCAAUUGACGUUACCCGCAGAAGAAGCACCGGCUAACUCCGUGCCAGCAGCCGCGGUAAUACGGAGGGUGCAAGCGUUAAUCGGAAUUACUGGGCGUAAAGCGCACGCAGGCGGUCUGUCAAGUCGGAUGUGAAAUCCCCGGGCUCAACCUGGGAACUGCAUUCGAAACUGGCAGGCUUGAGUCUUGUAGAGGGGGGUAGAAUUCCAGGUGUAGCGGUGAAAUGCGUAGAGAUCUGGAGGAAUACCGGUGGCGAAGGCGGCCCCCUGGACAAAGACUGACGCUCAGGUGCGAAAGCGUGGGGAGCAAACAGGAUUAGAUACCCUGGUAGUCCACGCCGUAAACGAUGUCUACUUGGAGGUUGUGCCCUUGAGGCGUGGCUUCCGGAGCUAACGCGUUAAGUAGACCGCCUGGGGAGUACGGCCGCAAGGUUAAAACUCAAAUGAAUUGACGGGGGCCCGCACAAGCGGUGGAGCAUGUGGUUUAAUUCGAUGCAACGCGAAGAACC